rfam:Oryza sativa (indica cultivar-group) chromosome 4, whole genome shotgun sequence.
AAAAACUCAAUUUCUGGGUUUUCAUGUCUAACCUUUGAACGUUUGUCUUAUUUAAGAAAAUUUAAAAAAUUUAAAAAGAUAAGUCAUGCAUAACUAUUAUUCAUGUUUUAUCAUCUAACAAUAAUAAAAAUACUAAUCAUAAAAAAAUUUCAUAUAAGACAGACAAUCAAACGUUGAACAUGAAAACCCAAG